UACGUAGGGAGCGAGCGUUGUCCGGAUUCAUUGGGCGUAAAGAGCUCGUAGGCGGCUUGGUAAGUCGGAUGUGAAACCUCCAGGCUCAACCUGGAGUCGCCAUCCGAUACUGCCAUGGCUAGAGUCCGGUAGGGGCCCACGGAAUUCCUGGUGUAGCGGUGAAAUGCGUAGAUAUCGUGAGGAACACCAGAGGCGAAGGCGGUUUCCUGGACAGUUACUGACGCUCAGGCACGAAAGCAUGGGGAGCAAAAGGG
rnacentral:rRNA from 1 species